ensembl:lncRNA TUBA1B-AS1 TUBA1B antisense RNA 1
GCGGGGACUCGAGGGACCGCACCCAGGACACAGUUACGCGACAAAAGAGAGCUCCGGAUACGGCGGAGGGCAGCCCGAGCCCCCCAUCCCUUCCAGAGUCCGAGAAGAAAUCCUGGCGCCCCUCGACCUUUCCGGGCCCCCGCUAUUUACACACACCGAGGUCUCACCACUCCCGCCCUGGCCUCUCGCCUCGUUUUCCGCCCUCCAAACGGACGGCUCUGAGGCCAGCCCUUCCCGGCUGUAUACAGGGCCCCAGCGCCCCGCCGGCUCGCUUUUCCCUGCUUCCCUGAAAGCAGCCGGGAGCCGCACGGCUUACUCACCAUAGUGGCUAGGGAUUAGGAGGCGAAGGCGACAGGAGCAGACACCGGGUCCCGGUUACCGUCCCCGACAAGCUAAGAGUCGAGAACAUGGACAAGAUGGCUGGGGUCCUGUGGAGUUCUAGUAAUCUUCUUACGAUAAUAAAGCAACCUUAUGCCAUAUGAUAUGCUAAGGAUGGAGGAAGAUAGAGUCUAGGUGCCUGAUGACAACAUGGAGCUGUCAAGCCCUGCAUUGCCUCCCCCUGGACGUCUCAUUAUGGGAGAAAAUGAAGCAAUUUGUUUAAGCCACACUGAUCUUUUUUCCUAUUUUUCUUUUUCUUUUGUUGAGUGUGUGUUUGUGUCUGUUAUUUACAGCUGAUUGUAAGUCAUAACUGAUGUGGUAGUGGGACUGUGUAAGUUUUGUCUUCUGAUGUUUUUCUUUUUUUUUUUCUUCUUCAGUGAAACAGGGAUGGGGAGAUCAUUAGCUAAAUGUAAGGAUUGGGGAAGGAGUGUGGGAGGUUUGUGGAGAGAGAAUGUGUGAAAUGUGGGAAGUUUGUGGAGAGAGAAUUUGUGAAAUAGUUAUCUCUGAAUGGUAGAGUAAAUUAAGUAGGGAGAGGUAGUAGGUCAUUCAGACAUCUGUGGUUGUAAAUAUAAAAUGAGAUCAGUCAUCUGGGUUGUAUUUUUCCCUAGUCAGGUUUACCUGCUCAGGAGAAGGUAUAAACCUGAUAGUGAAUUGGGUUUAACCAGGAUUUAUAUUUUGCUAAAGCCAUUGUGUCACCAUUUGUGAAAUAGAAGAAGAUACUGUAGAGUCACUAAGAAGACAGUUGACUGAAUGGAUUUAUAAAAACAUGUAGCCGGGCACAGUGGCUCAUGCCUGU